rnacentral:rRNA from 1 species
AGAGUUUGAUUCUGGCUCAGGAUGAACGCUGGCGGCGUGCAUAACACAUUCAAGUCGAACGGGCAGUAUUCCUCGGGGGUGCUGCUAGUGGCGGACGGGUGAGUAACGCGUGAGCAACCUGCCUCUGUGAGUGGAAUAACACAGGGAAACUUGUGCUAAUACCGCAUGACGAAGCGAAGCCGCAUGACUUUGCUUCCAAAGAUUUAUCGCACAGAGAUGGGCUCGCGUCCGAUUAGGCAGUUGGUGAGGUAACGGCUCACCAAACCGACGAUCGGUAGCCGGACUGAGAGGUUGAACGGCCACAUUGGAACUGAGAUACGGUCCAGACUCCUACGGGAGGCAGCAGUGGGGAAUAUUGGGCAAUGGGCCGCAAGCCUGACCCAGCGACGCCGCGUGAGGGAAGAAGGUCUUCGGAUUGUAAACCUCUUUGACAGGGGACGAAGUAAGUGACGGUACCCUGAAAACAAGCCACGGCUAACUACGUGCCAGCCGCCGC